rnacentral:rRNA from 1 species
UACGUAGGGUGCGAGCGUUGUCCGGAAUUAUUGGGCGUAAAGAGCUUGUAGGCGGUCUGUCACGUCGGGAGUGAAAACUUGGGGGCUUAACCCCAAGCCUGCUUCCGAUACGGGCGGACUAGAGGUAGGCAGGGGAGAACGGAAUUCCUGGUGUAGCGGUGAAAUGCGCAGAUAUCAGGAGGAACACCGGUGGCGAAGGCGGUUCUCUGGGCCUUACCUGACGCUGAGGAGCGAAAGCGUGGGGAGCAAACAGG